rnacentral:misc_RNA from 1 species
AACGCAUAUUGCGCCCUCUGGUAUUCCGGGGGGCAUGCCUGUUCGAGCGUCAUUAUCACCCCUCAAGCCCGGCUUGUUGUUGGACGUCGGCGGCUGCUUUUAAGCGGCCACCCGUCUCAAAGAUAAUGACGGCGUCUGUGAGGACUCCUGUACACUGAGCUUUCGGGCACGUACUAGGCUAGCACUCCAGGCCCGGUCUUGGUCGCUUCGGCGACAAACUUUUUUACCAAGGUUGACCUCGGAUCAGGUAGGAAUACCCGCUGAACUUAA